ACAAUAUUAAACACCAAUCUAGAUUAAGACUAACAUCAGCAGAACCGACUCCUCCAAGGCUCACUGACCAGGGUUCAGUCCUGGGUGCGAUGAGCAGCCACAAGAACUGCAGAAUCUGACAGUAACCGUCCGUCAUGAACCUGCAACUGCCUUCAGUCACUGUGAUGGCGAAACAUUUAACACAGAGAUGACUUGAACAUCCUCCCUGAUGUAGAAGCGCUCAGAUCGAAGAUAUAGGGGAAAGGUGAUGAGGGGCGAAAAUGGAAAGCAGAAUUGAGAUACCAAACCUAUAAGGAGUUACAGGCUGGAAAACAUAAUGAGAAUGAAAAGCUGGACCAGAUCAUUCAAGCUUUGUAAAGGGCUCUCCAGCAACCUGUGAACAUCACUAAAGUACCUGAAUGCAAACCUAAGCCUGGGAAUCGGGACCAGACUAUUGAGAGUGAUUUGUGGCCUGCUACAAUCACUUCGCAGGAGACCAAGACUUUAAUGAUGGGAAUCUGUCCCCCCUGUUCAAUGCCCUACUGCUCCAAUGCUUACCAACUAAGUUAGCCAACAUGAUUAAAACAAAUAAUAUGGAUAGGCCUGACAAUGACCAAAAUCUAAUGCAACGAGCUUUGACAUAUCAUUAGGACCCAACUUUCGAAUCCCGAUCAACCCCGAAGGGAACUAAUAUUAAAGGUGAAUAUGCUCAGCGGGAAGAAGGAUGUGAACGGGCUAUAUCUGAGGAACAGAAAUGGGAGCAAAAACCUACCAAGGGACAGGUGGGGACAACAACCCAUUUAGAAACUGACAAGAAGAUGCUUCCAACCAUGAGUGCCAACCCUCAGGAAGAGCCCAAUUUAAUAUUGCAAGUUGCUGGAACUCCAGUUCCGUUUAUAAUUGAUAUGAGGGCAACCACAACCACUCUCGAUCAGGAAAUAGUAUCGGAAAAGGGAUUCCAGCUAUCAGAUGCUACAAUCACUCUGUCUGGGUUCGAAGGCACGGAACGUACCUAUUCACGUACCCAGCCACUGCAGCUGGAAUUCCAGGGGAGCCAGUGUGAGGUUUCAUUUACAGUCACCACCAGACGGGGGGUGUAAUCUAGCAGGGAGAGACUUGCUCUGUCCGUUGGAAGUCGAGAUUCUUUGCACAGACAAUGCUGUCACCCUUGUCAGGAGAACAACCGACAGCUUCCCCAGUUUCCGACCCCCAAGCACUUAAUUUGGAACCCACUCCUUCUGCCAGCAGCCAACCCUCGUGUGACUCUGUGCUUUGACCCUACGGGGUGCGUCACUGAGGAAAGCCAAUAUUAUGCACCCCCCGAGGGACAUAAGUUCCUAGUCACGGUGAUUAGAGAGGUUACAGGAAGAGACGGUAUUGCAUUACUGGCCGAAUUUCCAGAUUUCCUUUGGCGACAGACAGAACUGGUAGUUCCCCAUACCACCAUUAGGAUUUGCUCUGAGUUCAAGCCAAAGAGCCCAGGGUUCCUGGCCUACACCCUAACGAAGCAAGCCUCCAGCACCGAAGGAGACUGGCAAGACUUGGCCGUGGGUCUAGUCCAAUACGGGAAGGAGUCUGAGGUGAAGAUGGGAUAUCUGGGUGACGCCUCUGAGGAGGAGUGAGAACUGUGGUCCCAGAUGGGGUGCCAGAAAGACUCCAACCUAGGUUUUUGGAUCACCUAGUGGGACAGGUAUGUAAUGUCUAAAGGACCAGUGUUUGAGUAAAUGAGACUCACCAAACUUUCUCCUGACUGAAUCAAUGGAAUCUCCGAUUCUCCUGAGGCAGUUGUUCUCUC